GUAGGUGAACCUGCGGAAGGAUCAUUACAGAGUAAUAGCCCCCCUCGGGGGCGAUUCUCCAACCCUUUGUGGAUUAACUCUUGUUGCUUUGGCGUGACCGUGGGGCCCUGCCCCCCGCUGGCCUCGGCGGAUCAGCCCGCGCCCCGUAAAACGGGACGGCCCGCCAGAGGACCCAAACUCUAAUGUUUCUUAUUGUAACUUCUGA
rnacentral:misc_RNA from 1 species